UACGGGGGGGGCAAGCGUUGUUCGGAAUUACUGGGCGUAAAGGGCCAGUAGGCGGCCAACUAAGUCCGACGUGAAAUCCCCAGGCUUAACCUGAGAACUGCGUCGGAUACUGGAUGGCUUGAAUUCGGGAGAGGGAUGCAGAAUUCCAGGUGUAGCGGUGAAAUGCGUAGAUAUCUGGAGGAAUACCGGUGGCGAAGGCGGCAUCCUGGACCGACAUUGACGCUGAACGGCGAAAGCUAGGGGAGCAAACGGG
rnacentral:rRNA from 1 species